rnacentral:rRNA from 1 species
UACGUAGGGUGCAAGCGUUGUCCGGAAUUAUUGGGCGUAAAGAGCUCGUAGGCGGUCUGUCGCGUCGGCUGUGAAAUCCCGAGGCUCAACCUCGGGUCUGCAGUCGAUACGGGCAAACUAGAGUAUUGCAGGGGAGACUGGAAUUCCUGGUGUAGCGGUGAAAUGCGCAGAUAUCGGGAGGAACACCGGUGGCGAAGGCG